AGGUGUCGCGCCGGUUCGUACCCAUCUCGCAGCAGGUCUCCAAGGUGAAGAGCCUCUAGUCGAUAGAUUAAUGUAGGUAAGGGAAGUCGGCUAAUUGGAUCCGUAACUUCCGGAAUAUGGAUUGGCUCUGAGGAGCGGGGCUGUGUCGGGCUUGGUCGGGAAGCGGGUCUGGCUGACGUGCCGGGCCUGGGCGAGGUGAACGGUUGGCGACUUCGGUCGCGUCCCGGGAUCCGAGCUCGGUCCCGUGCCUUGGCCUCCGCGGAUCUUCCUUGCUGCGAGGCUUCCGUGGCGGUUAACGCCGUCGUGGUCGCUUCUUCGGCCGCCAUUCAACGCUUAGCUCAGAACUGGCACGGACUAGGGGAAUCCGACUGUCUAAUUAAAACAAAGCAUUGCGAUGGCCCUCACGGGUGAUGACGCAAUGUGAUUUCUGCCCAGUGCUCUGAAUGUCAACGUGAAGAAAUUCAAAAAAGCGCGGGUAAACGGCGGGGUAACUAUGACUCUCUUAAAAAAGCCAAAUGCCUCGUCAUCUAAUUAGUGACGCGCAUGAAUGGAUUAACGAGAUUCCCUUCUAUCCCUAUCUACU